GACAGAGGGUGCAAACGUUGCUCGGAAUCACUGGGCGUAAAGGGCGUGUAGGCGGGCGUGCAAGUCAGGCGUGAAAUCCCUGGGCUCAACCCAGGAACUGCGUCCGAUACUGGUUGGCUUGAAUCCGGGAGAGGGAUGUGGAAUUCCAGGUGUAGCGGUGAAAUGCGUAGAUAUCUGGAGGAACACCGGUGGCGAAGGCGACAUCCUGGACCGGUAUUGACGCUGAGGCGCGAAAGCCAGGGGAGCAAACGGG
rnacentral:rRNA from 1 species